GAAAAUGGGGUAUAUUAAUACAAUGGCAUUUUACUUCAUCAUAAAGAAGAAUGAAGUGAUGGAAUUUGCUGGUAAAGGGAUGGAACUGGAGAAUAUCAUGCUGAGUAAAACUAACCCAGGCACAGAAAGUCAAGGGUUGAAUGAUUUCUCUCACAUGCAGGAGCUAGACCAAAAUAAGGGUGGGGAGAGAGAGAGAGAGAGAGAGAGAGAGAGAGAGAGAGGGAGGGAGGGAGGGAGAGGGAGGGGGGAAUUCCAUGAAUAUAGAAAAAAGAUGAGUACAAUAUAGGAAGGUGAUUUCAGGGGAAAGAGUAAAGAUGGAUUAAGGGAGGACAGUGGAAUGAAGUGACCAAACUUUCCCAUGUGCAUAUGUGAAGAUACCACAGUGAAUUUCUCCUUUAUGUAAACCCAUGAUGUACUAAGGUUUUAAAAACAUAAAUAAAUGGAAGUAAGAUGAGUAGAGGGAAGGAAACAGGGGAGGGAAGAGGGGCAGGAAAGGGCAAGUGCUUGGAACUGAAUCGGAGCCAAUCAUGUUCCAUGUUUGUAUAAUUAUGUCAAAAUGAACCCCCAAUAUCAUGUGUAUCUAUAAUGAACUAAGAAAAAAUUAUCUUUGUGCUUUUAAGAAAAGCUUAAUGCUGAGCUUAAAAUGCAAGAAACAAAACACUAUGUUUUAUCAUUUUACAACUCGGUGGACUGAGACGGACAUCGUUACCCUAAAUACAUGUAUGAAG
rnacentral:lncRNA from 1 species